AGGUUGUGGCUCAGUGGUAAAGCAUUCGCCUAUCGUGGGUGAGGCACUGGGAUGGAUCCUCAGCACCACCUA
rnacentral:tRNA from 1 species